CCUCCAGAGCAGAGUAGACAAAGUACAGGGAUGCUGUAACCAGCUGGAAGAGAAGAAAGAGGAUGAGCUAUAGGUGCAUCUGCUUGUCAUUUUGAAGUCUGUGGGACAAAUUGUACUAACAAUAAAGGUAAUCAUGGGCACACCCACUAUGAGUCACAACCAUCUGUGAUGUUGCAGAUUUCCCAUGUGGAAAACAGUGCAAGGUACCGGGAGACACUGUUUAGCCCUUCCCUUCUGCUUGAGAUAGCAAUCAGGCAUUCUGUUUUCAGAGGCUGCUACACCUACACCACCCCUUCCUUACCCUGUGACCCUUUGUGGGCAGCAAAUGGGAAAAGAUGAAGGUGUUGGAGUAGAGUGCCACAACCGUGGAAAACAAAGUGUGCCCUGACUGCGAGACAGAACAAACCGUGAAACUUUGGAUUUGAAAAAUCACACGUAUGCAACAAAGAGGACCUUGUUCCACACUGUUCACACCCUUUUCUCAGGAGAAGGAGGAACGGGAAGCUAACUUUUGCACAGAAAGUGAGACCCAAGUCCCCCCUCCCCGCAAGGUUUCCAAAUCCCCUCUGCGCGGUUCCCUGGCUCAGGCUCCAGGAGAAAGGCAGGGGCUGUUUCUGGAGAUUUCUCCGUGUGUCCGGAGCCCUGGCUCGGGAGAGCAGCUGCAAUCCGAGCGCUGCGGAGGCACCGCCCCGCCGGGAGCA